rnacentral:rRNA from 1 species
AGUGAACGCUGGCGGUAGGCCUAACACAUGCAAGUCGAACGGCAGCACAGUAAGAGCUUGCUCUUACGGGUGGCGAGUGGCGGACGGGUGAGGAAUACAUCGGAAUCUACUUUUUCGUGGGGGAUAACGUAGGGAAACUUACGCUAAUACCGCAUACGACCUACGGGUGAAAGCAGGGGAUCUUCGGACCUUGCGCGAUUGAAUGAGCCGAUGUCGGAUUAGCUAGUUGGCGGGGUAAAGGCCCACCAAGGCGACGAUCCGUAGCUGGUCUGAGGGGAUGAUCAGCCACACUGGAACUGAGACACGGUCCAGACUCCUACGGGGGGCAGCAGUGGGGAAUAUUGGACAAUGGGCGCAAGCCUGAUCCAGCCAUACCGCGUGGGUGAAGAAGGCCUUCGGGUUGUAAAGCCCUUUUGUUGGGAAAGAAAAGCAGCAGGUUAAUACCCCGCUGUUCUGACGGUGCCCAAAGAAUAAGCACCGGCUAACUUCGUG